CUGGUUUCCGCUUUCGCUUUAAAUAAUCAUUUGGUGAGAAAAAUCAGCUCCAAUUACAUUUCAGGUUCAAAUCAAGCACUGAGUAAAAUGUUUUUUUGCAAAACCCGUUGGAUCAAAUCCCUCCAGAGAUUUAUGCUGGUAUGAAAUGAAAUGAAAUAUUUUUAUAUCCUUUUAGCUUGUAACCAAGUCGUCGUGCCAGGCCAGGUUAUUUUGCAGUGAUUUAACUCCUCUUCCAAACAGACACCUUGAGCUCGCGUCACACGAACCGCACAGAGCGCUGCAGCUUUUAACUUUGCGUUGUGCGUGCGCCUUGUGCGCACGCUCGUUCGCGUAAGCCACCCCCCAGGUCUCUGGCACGAACGCGACUGCAUCGGGGGUGUGUUCCCAAGAGUCGCUGUACCAAGGCCAAAGGACCUUCAGAAAGCAGGACGGCGAGUCCGUUCCCGUGCCGCGGCGUUGCGGUGGGUGAAGUACUCGGCAUUAUUCUGCUUUCAGGACGCAUAGAGGAGGCCAAAGCACCCCUGUGCAGGAGAACUCAAGGAAGGAGAGGCACCCGACCCACUCUGCCGAUCAAGUUCGUCGAACAAGACGCUUCUGGUCGCCAUCGCGGAGUCUGAUUCUACCGCCAGAGCGAGCGAGUGCACGCGUUGCUCCAAUCUGGGACCUAAAAUGAGACAAAUGGUCCGGAGUGACGGGGAACAUCAAGGUACGGCUAAGCGCUUUAACACGAGCACGGGCUAGCGGGCAGUAUUUCACAUCCAAUGGCAUGACAUCCAUGUGUUCAUUUCAUGUGUUUUUUUUCUCUUCGGCAGGAAUCAAUUCCAGAUCAAGUAUCUGAAAAGUGAGCGAUUGUCACGUACGGCAUAUAAAGCCCUUCCGUGGUUCAGACGCAGCUUUCGGCGAAACCAAAGUAAGAGGAAUCUUCCAAGAACCCCACGUUUCUGUUUUCCCAGCAAACUCUACUCCGUGCUUUUGCUGUGUGAGCGCAGAGCUUGAAACAAUGAGCCGCAAUGUCCCUCAGCCCAAAAACUCGCCACGCCGAUAUAUUUC
rnacentral:lncRNA from 1 species